UGGGGAAUAUUGCACAAUGGAGGGAACUCUGAUGCAGCGACGCCGCGUGAACGAAGAAGGCUUUCGAGUCGUAAAGUUCUUUUAUUUGGGAAGAUAAUGACGGUACCAUAAGAAAAAGCCCCGGCUAACUACGUGCCAGCAGCCGCGGUAAUACGUAGGGGGCUAGCGUUGUCCGGAAUCACUGGGCGUAAAGGGUUCGCAGGCGGAAAUGCAAGUCAGGUGUAAAAGGCAGUAGCUUAACUACUGUAAGCAUUUGAAACUGCAAAUCUUGAGAAGAGUAGAGGUAAGUGGAAUUUUUAGUGUAGCGGUGAAAUGCGUAGAUAUUAGAAAGAAUACCGGUGGCGAAGGCGACUUACUGGGCUCAUUCUGACGCUGAGGAACGAAAGCGUGGGUAGCAAACAGG
rnacentral:rRNA from 1 species